rnacentral:rRNA from 1 species
AUUGAACGCUGGCGGCAUGCCUAACACAUGCAAGUCGAGCGGAGCGGCGGACGGGUGAGUAAUGCCUAGGAAUCUGCCUGGUAGUGGGGGAUAACGUCCGGACACGGGCGCUAAUACCUCAUACGAUUGACUGAGCCAAUGUCGGAUUAGCUAGUUGGCGGGGGAAAGGCCCACCAAGGCGACGAUCCGUAGCUGGUCGGAGAGGAUGAUCAGCCAGACGGGAACUGAGACAAGGUCCAGACUCCUACGGGAGGCAGAAGUGGGGAAUAUUGGACAAUGGGCGCAAGCCUGAUGCAGCCAUGCCGCGUGUAUGAAGAAGGCCUUCGGGUUGUAAAGUACUUUCAGCGGGGAGGCGUUACCCGCAGAAGAAGCACCGGCUAACUCCGUGCCAGCAGCCGCGGUAAUAC